UACAGAGGUCCCAAGCGUUGUUCGGAUUCAUUGGGCGUAAAGGGUGCGUAGGCGGCGCGGUAAGUCGGAUGUGAAAUCUCGGAGCUUAACUUCGAAACUGCAUUCGAUACUGCCGUGCUUGAGGACUGGAGAGGAGACUGGAAUUUACGGUGUAGCGGUGAAAUGCGUAGAUAUCGUAAGGAAGACCAGUGGCGAAGGCGGGUCUCUGGACAGUUCCUGACGCUGAGGCACGAAGGCCAGGGGAGCAAACGGG
rnacentral:rRNA from 1 species